GAUGAACGCUGGCGGCGUGCCUAAUACAUGCAAGUCGAGCGAACAGACGAGGAGCUUGCUCCUCUGACGUUAGCGGCGGACGGGUGAGUAACACGUGGAUAACCUACCUAUAAGACUGGGAUAACUUCGGGAAACCGGAGCUAAUACCGGAUAAUAUAUUGAACCGCAUGGUUCAAUAGUGAAAGACGGUAUUGCAGUACCUUAUAGAGAUAUCCCGGUCGAAUUGGCUAGUUGGUAAGGUAACGGACUACAAAGGCAACGAAGCGUAGCCGACUUGAGAGGGGGAUCGGCCCCACGGGAACUGAGACAGGGUCCAGACUCCUACGGGAGGCAGCAGUAGGGAAUCUUCCGCAAUGGGCGAAAGCUUGACGGAGCAACGCCGCGUAAGUGAUGAAGGUCUUCGGAUCGUAAAACUCUGUUAUUAGGGAAGAACAAAUGUGUAAGUAACUAUGCACGUCUUGACGGUACCUAAUCAGAAAGCCACGGCUAACUACGUG
rnacentral:rRNA from 1 species